GACGUAGGGGGGCGAGCGUUGUCCGGAUUUAUUGGGCGUAAAGAGCUCGUAGGCGGCUCAGAAAGUCGGGUGUGAAACCUCCAGGCUCAACCUGGAGACGCCACCUGAUACUGCUGUGGCUAGAGUCCGGUAGGGGGAACACGGAAUACCCGGUGUAGCGGUGAAAUGCUUAGAUAUCGGGUGGAACACCAGUGGCGAAGGCGGUGUUCUGGGCCGGAACUGACGCUGAGGAGCGAAAGCGUGGGUAGCAAACAGG
rnacentral:rRNA from 1 species